rnacentral:rRNA from 1 species
GACUCCGGAGAGGCAGCCUGAGAGACGGCUACCAGUUCUAAGGAACGCAGCAGGCGCGCAAAUUACACAAUGACAGUAAACUGUUGAUGUAGUGACAAGAGGUAACGGGGCGGUCCUCUAUGAGGCCCGUCAUUGUAUUGAGUAAAACUCAAAAUAUUUAACGAAGCCAAUUGGAGGGCAAGUCUGGUGCCAGCAGCCGCGGUAAUUCCAGCUCCAAAAGCAUGUAUUAAAGUUGUUCGGUUAAAAAGCUCGUAGUUGGAUCCAUGACCUCGAGGGCGGUCCCCCACUGGGUGCGUACUGCUGCUCCGAGUCCUAUCUGUCAGUUUGUCUGUGUUGCCUUUAAUCGGGUGGCACAGGUGACUGACGUGUUUACUUUGAAAAAAUUAGAGUGUUUAAAGCAGGCGUUGAAUGCCUGAAUAGUGGUGCAUGGAAUAAUGGAAUAGGAUCUCGGUUCUAUUUUGUUGGUCCAAGAGCAUGAGAAAAUGAUUAAGAGGGACAGACGGGGGCAUUUGUAUUGCUGCGUUAGAGGUGAAAUCCUUGGAUCGUAGCAAGACAAACUACUGCGAAGGCAUUUGCCAAGAAUGUUUUCAUUAAUCAAGAACGAAAGUUAGAGGUUCGAAGGCGAUCAGAUACCGCCCUAGUUCUAACCGUAAACCAUGUCGACUAGCUAUCUGUCAGCGUUAAUAAUGACCUGACAGGCAGCUUACCGGAAACGAAAGUUUCUCGAUUCCGGGGGUAGUAUGGUUGCAAAGCUGAAACUUAAAGGAAUUGACGGAAGGGCACCACCAGGAGUGGAGCCUGCGGCUUAAUUUGACCCAACACGGGAAAACUCACCCGGCCCGGACACCGUAAGGAUUGACAGAUUAAUAGCUCUUUCUCGAUUUGGUGAUUGGUGGUGCAUGGCCGUUCUUAGUUGGUGGAGCGAUUUGUCUGGUUAAUUCCGAUAACGAACGAGAUUCUAACUUACUAACUAGUUCCACGAUCCUUGUGGUCCUAAAUACUUCUUAGAGGAAAACCGGCAUUUAGUCGAACGAGAUUGAGCAAUAACAGGUCUGUGAUGCCCUUAGAUGUCCGGGGCUGCACGCGUGCUACACUGAAGGAAUCAGCGUGUUUUUCCCUUGCCUGUAAUGGCUGGGUAACCGACUGAAUCUCCUUCGUGUUAGGGAUAGAUCAUUGAAACUAGUGAUCUUCAACUUGGAAUUCCUGGUACGUUUGAGUCAUAAGCUCAAGCAGAUUACGUCCCUGCCCUUUGUACACACCGCCCGUCGCUACUACCGACUGGCAAUAUCUUUGAGACACUUGGAGCGGCCGUGAGCUACCCUAACCGGUAACUCACGGCUGCGAAAAGGUUCGAAAAGGUUUUGCUGGAGGAAGUAAAAGUCGUAACAAGGUU